CCUACGGGAGGCUGCAGUGGGGAAUAUUGCGCAAUGGGCGAAAGCCUGACGCAGCGACGCCGCGUGCGUGAUGAAGGUCUUCGGAUCGUAAACCUCUGUCAGCAGGGAAGAACGGUCACUGUGCUAAUCAGCAGUGAAUUGACGGUACCUCCAAAGGAAGCACCGUCUAACUCCGUGCCAGCAGCCGCGGUAAUACGGAGGUUGCGGGCGUUCAACGGAUUUACUUUGAGUAAAGGGUGCGUAGGCGGUAUGUCAAGCCACAGGUGAAAUCCCCGCGCUCAACUUGGGAACUGCCUCUGAUACUGGCAAACUGGAGAGUGUGGGAGGUAAGUGGAAUGCAAGGUGUAGCAGUGA
rnacentral:rRNA from 1 species